CAUGAAAUGGGCAAUCAUUCAUCCAUUUGAUAGAGUGGACAGAGUACCUUCUCUGUGCUCUCGCUGUUACAGCCUGGCAGGGAUACAGCAGAGAGCCAGGCUCCCGGGCUGAAGGGAUGGACCCGGGAAUGGCUCCUGCCUUCAGAACCUGCCUGAAGGGCGUGGGCAACAGAGGCACCAAGGGGCCAGUCCGGAAAGGCGUCUCUGGGGAAGGAAGGCCUCUGUCUCUGUUCUCAGACUCCACGAGGAAGAGCCUGGGAAAUGCCUCCCCCAACAAAACCAAAUGAAACUCUCUUUGGACUUCGUAGUGAACAGUUCAUUCCCCGAGACCCGUCUGCGGGGGAGCUCAGUGUCCAACCUGGCAAGGCCGAGAAGACAACGAUGACAAGGACUAUAUUAACAGCCCGUGUUGAGUAGGUGCUUGCCAUGGGCCGGGCAUCCCACAGACAGCCUUCCUGGCAUGGAUUUUCUCAUCUGAUCUAUAGGAUCGUCCUACACAGGUGCAGUCAUCGUGACCACGGAUUUCACAGGCAGAACACCCAGCCCAAAUGAAUGCCACAGUUUUCCAAGGCCACUCAGCGAAUGAGGGCAAAAGACGGGAUUCGAACUCAGGCAUGCUGAUCCCAGUGCACUAAGCGAAUGAGAAGCGGCGCAGGAGGGGAGGAGUCUCAGAGGAAGCCUGAGGCUGGGCCCUAGGGAUGGGCGGGAUGGGGAGGAGAGAGGAGCCUCAGGAAUUCGUUCCCCCAUUGCACUAAGCCUCCCACGUACCCCUCCUUCCGCCAGCUUCUGGCACCUAGCCACAAGACGCCAUGCUGCGCCAGAGGCUAAGAAGCCCGUGAGUCCCGGGCCCGCCCUCUCCCACCUGGGCAGGAUGAGGGGAAAGGGAAAAGCUGCUUUGGAGAGAGGCAGAUGCAGGCGUGAGUCUGUGUGACUCUGGGCUCAGCUCUUUUGCCCACUUCGUUCUCUUCCCUCCUGUAGAAGCAGGAACAAUCCAGUCCGCCCUAGUUCAUAGAACUCCUCCAGCCUAGCACUCAGCAGACGCUCUAUUCGUGCACAUUGCCACAAUGAAUACGUCAUUGAACAAAGCGGUUAACCUGAGGUCUUUUCUCCUUUAAUUUUUUCCAACAAUAGGAACAGUUUUUAUUUCCAUACUUGCUCCGAACACCCUGAGAGACAGCAAAAUUGGGUGUUUGUCAGUUGGUGCCCUCUACCCCACGCAGCCCCCCUGCAAGCUUCUUUCAGGUUUUAGGGAAAGUGGAGCCUUGUCCUUCUGCGAGGAUCGGGCGCCCUCUUGCGGCCAUCUCGGGAUUCCCGAAGUUCAGGUCCCCGCAGCAGGAGAGUGGGAUUCUCCGGGGCUGAGGACAGGGAGGCCAAGGGACCCCUCCGCCUGCCUGCGGAAGUGGCCUGGCAGUCCCCUACUCUCCAGGAGCCUGUCCCUUCUUUCUUCAUCAGGCUGGACACCGAGGCUGAGUCCCCGGGGAAGCUGACCACGGCCAGGCACCGCCUAAAGGGAGUGUGUGAGGGAUGGGGGCCGCCCCUCCCGCAGGCACAGGACUCAGCCAUCACAAAUGCCAGUGGUCCUUGGAACACGUCUGCCCGGCUGAGCCUGCCAGAUGCCCAGUUUAGGGAAGCGCGUGAGGAACAGAAAUGGAGGAGACCCGACCAGACAAGAGGCAGUCUACCCAGCUGCAGGUCGUGUCAUUUCCUCUCCAAAAACAGACAGGGAGCGCCAGCCGCCUGUGCAUCGCCCCACUGUGGCAUUGGGACAAUUGCUCCUGCUGUCCCCUUCCCUCCAGGAAUGAUCUAGCUGGGCUCUAGGAAGCCUCCAGGACUGCCACAUUCAUAGUUCCAGGGGCAGGGGCCACCAUGAGCACAAUGCACCCAGGCGUGUGAGGGGGUCCCCCGACAACCCUUGCCCCCGCUGCCCACUCAGAGACCACCCUCGCUGAGCUGCUCCUCCGUGGCCUGGCCCUUCUAAACCUCUGGCUCCUUCUUCUGGGCAUUUGGGGUAUGGGAUCCCUUUCCUAAUUAACCAGAAACGCCCCAACCAGGCUUGGGCACACAGGUGGUCCUCAGGAAUCGGAGCUGGCUUAGAGAAGGUGGAAUGAGUUGGGAGCUCCUGUGAUCACAGCAACAAACGACUUUUCCACCAGCCAAGAACUGGGCACCUCCCACGCGGCCCCUUCACAUGGCCUCGAAGUGGGUGUGGCAAAUAUGACCCGCCUUAUAGAGGAGACCUACACCGAGCCCCCAGGGAGCCAUCAGCAGAGAGAGGCAGCGCAGAGGCUGGAGCCGACUUCCCCUCACCACAGAUCUGGGUCAACUCUAAGGAGCACUUUGUCCAGCAAAAGGGAAACCUGGCUUGUUCCCUCGAGCCUGGAAUGGACAUGGAAAGGGUGUCUUUUUGGCAGAAGCAAGGAUCUCCAGAUGGUUUCGAAACAGAAUUUACCCAGCACCAGACCCUCCUGGGCCAGUCACAUGGCCUUUGAGUGACCAGGAUCUUCAGGAGCCACUUUCAGGAAAUGCAGCAAAGGCCUGAAGUGUUUCCUGUUGAAGAACUCGCUUUACUCUCAUGGAGCCUCUAGGAGGCACUAUUGUGACCUAUUUAUAGGAAGAUAAACAGAGGCUGGGGUGGUGAAGUGAAAAGUUGCCGGGCUAAAGAACUGGGCUGGCAGCCCAGACAUCAGCCCUCAGCCCUCCCAGCCGGGAAGGGUCCAGAGUACAUGCGGGAUCAGAGAUCUUCAUAGCAGAAAGCGCUCUUUGAUGCCAGCCACACUGACUCCACAGGGAGCAGAGUGUGUUCAAAGGCCAGGAUUUUAUUCCCCCAUCCCCACCCUCCCCGAUUCUCACCACUAUCCAAUUAAAAACAAAAACAAUCGCAUAAAUGGUACUACGUGCCAGGGACUUUGUAGACAUACAUGCCUUUCACAGAUCCCACCUAUGUAGGUGGGUAUUUUUGAUUCCUCUAUUUUCCGGUGAGAUUCAGAGAAGUUAAGCAACUGGCCUGUGAUCACCCAGACAGCAGGAGUGGAGCCUCAGUCUGGGAUCUGACCAGUGCCUGUUGCUCUGAGCCUGCAGAGCCAGUCCCAGGCUCCAUCCACCCCGCCCUCCAGCAGCCUGGCCUGAUUCAAAUGCCAGGACUGCAGGUUCCUAAAUCAGCGUCCAUCAGCCCAAGGUCAGGGUUAUUACAGUUUACACAACUACAGUCACCAAGGAGUAACUAGGACAGGACAGGCUGGUUCUAGCAGCUGCUGAGAGAGGGAGAGAGGGAGAGGGAGAGAGAGAGAGAGAGAGAGAGAGAGAGAGAGAGAGAGAGAGAGAGAGAGAGAGAGAAAACUCAGCAAGAAUUCCUCUAGAUAGCACUAUUUGAAAUCUUCCCAUGAUGAAAUUAAAAGUGAGUCUUAAAUGAUUUAUUUUUUCAAUCUGUGAAUCUAAACAAAUGAUCCCCCUUCUAGGUACAUGUAUCAUAUGAUCUCCUUCACAGCUGUGAAAAAAUGCUAUUAGUGCUUUCAAAGCAGUUUUAUCACAGAUUAAAGAAGCCUAGAAAAAAAAUUGGCAGCCAGAGACAGCCAUAUGCCUACUUGACCUAGGACGGUAAACCUGUUGUUCAUUCCAGAGAGGGGAUUAUGGCAUUACUUUUAGUAAGUUGCUUUUCAUAUGGAAAUUUCCUUUCAUAGUAAAGAUCUGUCUUUAAUAGCAUCAUCCUAAAAACAUGCCUAUUUUUUAAUUCCACGAUCAUGGACAUAUAGAUUUUUAUAGUGUCUGCAAGCAUACAUUAAUGUUAAUUUCACCAUUCUCCUUUGUAUUUUGUUAAUGUCACAGUCUGCUGUAAAACCUUGCCAAGUUUCUUAACUGUCAUGUUAAUUCCAAGACCUAUUCUGCACUCUUUGACAUUUCAGGACAGAACAAGGCAGUAAAAAUAGAUUAGAAACAGCUUAUAAGUAUUAUAAAAUCUAGAACUUUACAGAUGGUGGAAUUAGGUCUGCUGAAUGGAAAUUUAGCAACUCCUGAAUGCAAUAAUAUUAGAAAAUCGUAUUCAUUUCUAAGGUAAAUAUUUGGAAGGCGUCGUAUAAUGGCGGCUGGAGAAGUUGGGGAAACUUAUAAAAUGCAACAGAGUUAUAUAAUUUUAAGAAACAUACUGUAUGCAUAUACCAUAUCCUGCAGAGUUUCGGGUUUCAAAGGUUUUCUCCACUGUAUAAAUAAAGGGCAAAUAGUAAGGGCUUGAUUUUAUUCAUGGUCAGUUCAAAGAUCACACAAAUUAUUUCACUCAGGGGGUUUGUCUGCAUUUUCUUAAGUUAAAGCACAGCAUUACUGUACUUAGAUAUUAAAUGACACUACCAUGUGCUAAGAAAUGUGCAGGAAUGGACAGGAAAUUAGACACUGUUUUCUUAAACUGAUUGCUAAAGAAUGCCCACUGUUUAAACCUGCACUAUCCAUUUCAAAGGGAAGUAUUGGCUGAUUUCAGGAAGUUUGAAAUCAGCUCAUGGAGAAGCAGGACAAAGUUAGGGUUAAAUGUGCUUUUCUUCCUCCCCAAAGGGGAAACUAUUUCUUAAAAAAAAAAAAAAAAAAAAAAAAGAAACGAAAAAGAAAAAGAAAGAAAGAGAGAAAGAGAAAAAAUUUUCCCUUUUUUCUUUAAGGAGGACUUAUUAUUUCCAUCAUCCUCGUUGAGUUGUUGAUGAAUAGUUCACAUCCCCUGCCAAGCCCCACCCUUGUCUAUUUUCUAAGCUCUUUCCUCAUUAUUUGCUCAGCCUUUUCCCACAGCCCCGACCGGCCGUCAGGGCAGCUUAAACACAACACAGCAUUAACAUGGGGAAAUGGCUUUCAGUUUCCAAUUGAUCUCCUAAUACGUUAUGUUGAAAUGAUAAUUGGUACACUCUUCAUUGAAAAAUAAGAGAGAAAAACUACUACUCAGUCACCACCAGGUAUUAUCGUAGUUCAUGUAUUCAGAACAACCAGAUACAUUAAAAAAAAAAUCAAAAAACAAAAAACUAUCCCCCCCCAUCUGCGGGAGAGACUGCAGUCCACAAUUCUUUUCAACUGACAUAAUCCAGAUUGAUUCGUUCAGCAGAUAAAAUUCAGGCCACUUCUGCCCUUUAUGGGAGCAACAUAAUACCAGUCUUUAUUCAGUAACAAUGUAACAUAAUGAGAUCGGAAUGUGCAAAAUGACUGUUCUUAAAUUACUGUGCCUCACAAGGGCCCAACACAAGCUGGGACUUAAUGUAAAAAAUCAUUAGGCACAGAUUACUAAAGUGCUCCUGCAUUAAGGAGGUCAAACCGAGUCUGUUUACGGCAUUUUUCAGGACAGAAAGUCUUUGCUAAUAUCUUGAUUAUGACCGUCUUCUGGGGGGCCCAUCCCAGCACCCACAGCUCAGCAUUGUCUCCAUCCGGGAGCCGGGAGGCAGAAUUAAGAGAGGACAGGGCAGGAGAUGGCAUCGGAGGGACUCCACAAUCACGUGCUAUUUUUGGGAAAGUUGGGUGCAUCAAAUAAUUUAAGCUUUGAGCUAUUAAGUUAUGUUAAUUUCAAGGUCGUCAGGGGAUGGUUAUUCAAACACAUAGAAUAUUUGGAAAAUAACGAAAAGCACAAAGAACAAAGAAUGAUCUCCCACCAUCUCCAUAUCUAGAAAAAAACCACUGGCCAUUCUGAAUGUAAAUUCACUCCAAAUAUUUUUUCCAGCCAUAACUAUCUAAUGUUUUUAUACAAUGUAUGCUUCAAAUACAGCCUUUCACUAAAUGUUAUAGGUAAGGUCAAUAUUUCUCCCUGUCAUUAAUUAUUCCUCUGCAAUAUAAUUUUAUAGCUACAUGGUGUUUCUUCAUGUGGAAGUGCCUAAUUUAGCUUCACCCCUAUUCUUGGGCUUGUCAGUUGUUUUCUAAGUUUCCCCUCAUUAUAAAGGAUGUGUUGAUUAAUAUCCUUAUGCGAAAGUCUUUCCCCGACAUGUCAGAUAAUUUUCUUUGGAAAAACUUCCAAUAAGUAGAAUUGCUGGGUGAGAGGGAACACACAUUUUAUACCUAUUUGAUACUUAUUUUUUAUUUGGCCCCCCCAAAAGCUUGCACCUAUUUAUAUUAAUAACACAGUGUUCACAGGACUACAUAUUUCUAGGGAUGUGUUACAAAUCCAUUAUACCAGCCUUUUCCUUUGCAGGACACCACAAAGAGUUCUUGAACAUUGCAUUGCAUCUGCUGACUUAUAUCACACAAGGAUAUCAUGACCACUAUUCAAUUCUGCACACUCACCCAAAAAUCUGUCAUCAGAAGAAAGAUUAAAUUAAGAGAGUCAGUCAAUGUAGUCUCUUACACACCCAAGGUUGCCUAAGAAGAGUCUAGAGAAGUAAACCAGAGCAAAGCAGAGCAGAAAAGAUUUCCUUUGAAUUGAAAUGAUUUUUUUUCAACUUGCAACUCCAAGCCUCAUGCAAUUUAAUUUUUGAAUUUGAGAGCAUUGCUGGUCUCUUAUCUUGUUUAAAUAGAAGACUUCCAAAAUUCCGAUCACGGAAUCAUCGGGUGGCCUCUGAGAUGAUGCAGUUACUCUUCGGAACACUGGGCUCACGUCUGGAGUGGGGCCUGUAUUUGGUCAAUGUUUGCACAAAACGAAACAGGCGCCAUGUGUAAAUGCAGAAGGCUGCUGCGGAGCAUGUAUGAGGCAGAGAUUUUGUGUAUGUAUAUGUACACACAUGCACAUAAAUAUAUUUAUCUAUAAAAUGAACAUCACCAUUGUGACCUCCUCACUGAAACUCACACCAUCUGAAAUAGUUGCAUGUGAUUACUAGCCGCUACUGUCAAUCAUGACGGCACAAAUCCAAUACUCAGGCCAUAUGGCCUUGAAACUUGCAAUCGAUAGGAACCUUUUAAAGCUGAAGCUUCAAAAAGUUGUAUCAAAUAUAUAUUCAAUGAGAAGAAGGUUAAUUGAAUAAUUGAUUACUCAGUAACAAUUAAGUGCUCUUCAGAUAUCUUUGGGAAAUCAUGAAAUAUAACGGUGAUAGAUAUUUAUUAGUUUAUCAGUUCUUACUGUGUUAUAUAUUUAUUUUGGGGCCUGAAGUCAAUUUCUUUCAUUUAUAUAUUUUAACAGCAGAGUCCCCGGAAAUGAAAUGAUACAUAUAUUUUUAUUUCCACGCUGCCAAAGAGAUGACAGGGUGGAGAGGGAUCCAUGUAGAACCAGGGGUGUCAACAGCAUUUCCCAACAUCAGAGAUGGCUUCUUUGUGACAGCUCUUAGGUGAAAUAGUCAAACAACGUCUCUCGGAAAGGUGUGUGCUCUGACACUCAGUCGUUUUUGUAAAGAGAGCCUGGGUGCUGAAACUGCACACUGCCAUGGCUGUUGAAGGAUUACCAUCAUGUGGGUUUUCCUUCCUUCUGCCUGGUUUAUCUUCAAAAAUAACCAGAUCUGCAGGUCUCCAGAGACAAGAAAACAACAAUUGUUUCUCCACGAAUAGGCAAAGUGACCAGCCUGUCACUAUCAUUUGUGAACAAAUCCCUUAGACAAGUUAUCUGUGGCUUUUUCAAAGGAGGUAUAGAUGGGGCUUUAUGAAAUCAUUGAUAUCUAUUGAAGAGGAUAAACACAUACAAACACACACACACACACACACACACACACACCCUUGUGUCAAACAGGGUAGGAGCAAAGACUGAACAUAAUCAGACUCUGCAGAAAGGUGAGUCCAAGUGCUCACUCUAUAGGCCAUACUUUGCACACAUGAUAUGGUUGGAUCUGUGUCCCCACCCAAAUCUCAUGUCAAAUAGUGACAUGGUUUGGCUGUGUCCCCACCCAAAUUUCACCUCAAAUUGUAAUAAUCUGGUGGAGCCAGGUGGAGAUAAUUGUAUCAUGGGGGCUGUUUCCCCCAUACUGUUCUCUUUAUAGUGAGUGAGUUCUCACAAGAUCUGAUGGUUUUAUAAGCUUCUGGCAUUUCCCCUGCUGGCACUUCUACUCUUGCCUGCUGCCAUGCAGACGUGCUUUCCACCUUCCACCAUGUUUGUGAGGCCUCCCCAGCCAUGUGGAACUGUGAGUCCUUUAAACCUCUUUUUCUUUAUAAAUUACCCAGUCUUGGGUAUGUCUUUAUCUGUAGCUUGAAAACAGACUAAUACAAAUUGUAAUCCCCAGUGAUGGAGGUGGGACCUGGUGGGAGUGAUUGGAUCAUGGGGGUGGUUUCUAGUGGUUUAACACCAUCUUCCUUGGUCUUGUCAUGACAAGAGUGAGUGCUCACGAGAUCUGGUUGUUUAAAUGUGUGUGGCACCUCCCACCUCCCUCCUUUCCUCCUGCCCUGGCCAUGUAAGAAGCAUGUGCCUGCUUCCCCUUCACCUUCCACCAUGACUAAGUUUCUUGAGGCCUCCCCAGCCAUGCUUCCUGUACAGUCUGCAGAACUGUGAGCCAAAUAAACCUCUUUUCUUUAUAAAUUACCCAGUCUCAGGUAUUCCUUUAUAGCAGUGCAAGAAUGGACUAAUACACUGCAUCACCACCAGCUUUGCCAAAGAGUUCAAGAAUCUCUGAGAAAUCCCCACCCAAACGGUAAAAUCAGAUUUCCUGACAGCAAAACUUCAACAUCCCUAAUGGACCCACCUGAGAGCUGACAAACUGCCCAGAUACAAGAAACCUAUUUUAAACAGGAGUAAAAAUGAAUGUUUACUUAUGUACCUAACAACUAGGCCAAAUGUUAGCAAGUUUAUGUCUCUGUAUAUUUUCUUAUGUACGCAUUCAAGAAAUAUGUGCUGAACCUCUUCUCUUCUCUGGGCUGGUCACUGUAGUCCGUGAAGGGGACUAAGCUGUGAACAAG
rnacentral:lncRNA from 10 species